AAAAUGCGAAAUGUCGUGUGACAUGCAUUCCUCGUGAAUCAUCAAAUCUUUGAACGCACCUUGCACCUUUUGACUUUGUCAUCAGGUAUACUUGUUUGAGUAUCGUAUCACAUUCUCCCUUUCACUUUUGUGCAAACAAUUGUUAAAGGGGACUUGAAAGUCUGGCUGGGUUGUUAACCUGAAAAGUUAGUCUUUUUAAAUGAAUACCUGGUCAAGGUUCUCUUGUCUCGGUUUUAUUGGCAACUAAUCAUUGUCAAUAAGACGGUCUAAUGGGAUAACAUCCAUCGUUAGACUAUAAGGGAUGCCUUGGCAUUAACGGGCAAACGACCGAGUGACUAUUUGGGCAACCAAAUGGGCACCCACACAUACGUUUACCGAUCUCAAAUCAAGUAGGACUACC
rnacentral:misc_RNA from 1 species